rnacentral:tRNA from 1 species
GAGAGGUAAGAAACAGUAAGGAUUGCUAAUCCAUACCCCCGUAGUUAA